ACUCAAUACAUUUGCAGCAGUGCAGCUUACUAUAAAUGGCAACAGAAAGUCAAAAAUAAUGUCUGCAUUUGAGCAUAAUGGUCACAUACAAUAAAGUUAAUACAUUUCUAAAAUAAAGAUACAUAGAACCGCGGUAGAAAUUUUUAUCAAUCUCUGGAAAACUAAUGUAAUGCUGACAGUGAAAUGGUAGGGUCCAUUCUCUCAACCCCC